GCCUUCGUGGUGUAGUGGUCUGCAUGUUCGGCGCGUAACCGAAAGGUCCGUGGUUCGAUUCCCGGCGAAGGCG
rnacentral:tRNA from 1 species